GGGGUGGCUGAGCCUGGCCAAAAGCGGCGGACUUAAGAUCCGCUCCUGUAGAGGUUCGAGGGUUCGAAUACCUUCCCC
rnacentral:tRNA from 1 species